CACGUAGGGCGCAAGCGUUGUUCGGAAUUACUGGGCGUAAAGGGCUCGUAGGCGGCCAACUAAGUCAGACGUGAAAUCCCUCGGCUUAACCGGGGAACUGCGUCUGAUACUGGAUGGCUUGAAUCCGGGAGAGGGAUGCGGAAUUCCAGGUGUAGCGGUGAAAUGCGUAGAUAUCUGGAGGAACACCGGUGGCGAAGGCGGCAUCCUGGACCGGCAUUGACGCUGAGGAGCGAAAGCCAGGGGAGCAAACGGG
rnacentral:rRNA from 1 species